CUCUCUCUCUCUCUCUCUCUCUCUCUCUCUCUCUCUCUCGCUCUCUCUCUCUCUCUCUCUCUCUCUCUCUCUCUCUCUCUCUCUCUCUCUCUCUCUCUCUCUCUCUCUCUCUCUCUCUCUCUCUCUCUCUCUCUCUCUCUCUCUCUCUCUCUCUCUCUCUCUCUCCCAUCCCCUUGUUAAGUGGUCAGACAGACAGAAGUGAAUGAUGAAGAAGGUGAGCUGAGCAAGAUGGAGAAGCAGGGCACGUGCACUACUAACUCAUCUCUUAGCCCACAAAUAUACACACUCUCCCCAAAUGCAUGUAUAAGAUAGAGAUAUGUAUGUGGAGUGUGAUGAUAAUUGAGUUAGUUCUUCAUGUGCCCAUCUUCCCCAUCAUGACCACUUCACCUUGAUGAUGAUGAUCCCAGUGUUAGUCAUAUAUUGACACACGUGGGAAUAUAUAUAUAUAUAUAUAUAUAUCGAUGUGUCUGUGUGUGUCUAUUUGUGUGUACGAAAAGCGAAUUCAGGGAAGCAGAUAUCCCGCAACAAGCUAUUAAUACGUACGUAUGCAAAGAAAGCUUACUCCAUUGGAAAUUUUAUCAGCAGAAAACUCAUGUACCACUCCCAGCGGCUACACACAGUGCCAUCCCGUCACAGAUCCGUGAUCUGUAUAUAUGGCGCCAGAUGAUACACAUAUGGCGUCAGACGAUACACACAACCCAACUCUUCAAACCAUAAAUCAACAAUCUGAGAACCAGUGGCAAAGGAACUUCCAUCCAAACAACUUAGCACGAAUGGAACAAACACCAUCAGAACAAACUAUGAAACUUAGCAAGACAUCCGUAGCCUGGGUACGGAUCGGAUAUUUGGGUUUUUGAAUGUAUUUGUGAUUUGCUUCGUAUAUUACGGAUAUCUAAUUUUUUCGAUUUUUUUUGCUUAAAAAAUACGGAUAUUCAGAAAAAUGGAUAUCCGGAAAAUAAAUAGAUAGAUACUUACGGACAUCUCAUAUGUUUUAAUUAAUACAAAUAAUCUUAAAAAUUCGAUACAA